UACAGAGGUCUCAAGCGUUGUUCGGAUUCAUUGGGCGUAAAGGGUGCGUAGGCGGCGCGGUAAGUCGGGUGUGAAAUCUCGGAGCUUAACUCCGAAACUGCAUUCGAUACUGCCGUGCUUGAGGACUGGAGAGGAGACUGGAAUUUACGGUGUAGCGGUGAAAUGCGUAGAUAUCGUAAGGAAGACCAGUGGCGAAAGCGGGUCUCUGGACAGUUCCUGACGCUGAGGCACGAAGGUCAGGGGAGCAAACGGG
rnacentral:rRNA from 1 species